AGGGCACCACCAGGAGUGGAGCCUGCGGCUUAAUUUGACUCAACACGGGAAAACUCACCCGGCCCGGACACCGUAAGGAUUGACAGACUGAGAGCUCUUUCUUAAUUCGGUGGGUGGUGGUGCAUGGCCGUUCUUAGUUGGUGGAGCGAUUUGUCUGGUUAAUUCCGAUAACGAACGAGACUCUGGCCUAUUAAAUAGACGGUAUAUCGAAAAGUAUAUCGCACUUCUUAGAGGGACAAGCGGCGUCUAGCCGCAUGAAAUAGAGCAAUAACAGGUCUGCGAUGCCCUUAGAUGUCCGGGGCUGCACGCGCGCUACACUGAAAGAAUCAGAGUGCGCUUUGCCUAGUUCGGAAGAACUGGGUAACCCAAGUAAAUUCUUUCGUGCUUGGGAUAGGGAAUUGCAAUUAUUUCCCUUAAACGAGGAAUUCCCAGUAAAUGCGGGUCAUAAGCUCGCGUUGAUUACGUCCCUGCCCUUUGUACACACCGCCCGUCGCUACUACCGAUUGGAUGACUUAGUGA
rnacentral:rRNA from 1 species